UGCCAGACUCCUACGGGAGGCAGCAGUGGGGAAUAUUGCACAAUGGGCGAAAGCCUGAUGCAGCGACGCCGCGUGAGUGAAGAAGUAUUUCGGUAUGUAAAGCUCUAUCAGCAGGGAAGAUAAUGACGGUACCUGACUAAGAAGCCCCGGCUAACUACGUGCCAGCAGCCGCGGUAAUACGUAGGGGGCAAGCGUUAUCCGGAUUUACUGGGUGUAAAGGGUGCGUAGGUGGCAGGGCAAGUCAGAUGUGAAAGCCCGGGGCCCAACCCCGGUACUGCAUUUGAAACUGUCCGGCUGGAGUGCAGGAGAGGUAAGCGGAAUUCCUAGUGUAGCGGUGAAAUGCGUAGAUAUUAGGAGGAACACCAGUGGCGAAGGCGGCUUACUGGACUGUAACUGACACUGAGGCACGAAAGCGUGGGGAGCAAACAGGAUUAGAUACCCCCGUAG
rnacentral:rRNA from 1 species